AUCGCUUUCUCGGCCUUUUGGCUAAGAUCAAGUGUAGUAUCUGUUCUUAUCAGUUUAAUAUCUGAUACGUCCUCUAUCCGAGGACAAUAUAUUAAAUGGAUUUUUGGAGCAGGGAGAUGGAAUAGGAGCUUGCUCCGUCCACUCCACGCAUCGACCUGGUAUUGCAGUACCUCCAGGAACGGUGCACCCCCUCCGGGGAUACAACGUGUUUCCUAAAAGUAGAGGGAGGUAAGAGACGGUAGCACCUGCGGGGCGGCUUGCACGCCGAGUGCCUGUGACGCGCCGGCUUGACUUAACUGCUUCCCUGAAGUACCUUGAGGUUCCUGAUGUGCGGGCGGUAGACGGUAGGCUUAUGUGGCACGCUUUCGUUUCCACCGUGGCUACUGCGCUUUGGGAAGGCCACGACCUCCUCCUUUGGGGAGGUCCUUAGGAUCUCAGCUUGGCAGUCGAGUGGGUGGCGACCUUUUAAAGGAAUGGGACCCACCCGGAGUUCUUCUUUCUCCUGUCUCUCUCUCUCUCUCUCUCUUUCUCUCUCUCUCUCUCUGUCUCUCCGUCUCUCUGUGUCUGUCUCUGUCUCUCUGUCUCUCUCUCUCUCUCUCUCUCCUCUCUCUGUCUCUCUCUCUCUUUCCCUCUCUCUCUCUCUUUCCCCCCCCCGCCUCUCCCUCGCUCUUUUGGUUUCCCCCACCCCCUCCCAAGUUCUGGGGUACAUGUGCAGGACGUGCAGGUUUGGAACAUAGGUACACGUGUGCCACGGUGCUUUGCUGCACCUAUCCACCAGUCGUCUAGGUUUGAAGCCCCGCAUGCGUUGGCUAUUUGUCCUAAUGCUCUCUCUCCCCUUGCCCCCCACGCCCCGUCAGGGCCCGGCGUGUGAUGUUCCCCUCCCUGUGUCCCAUGUGUUCUCGCUGUUCAACUCCCACUUAGGAGCGAGAACAUGCGGUGUUUGGUUUUCGCUUCCUGUGUCAGUUUGCUGAGAAUGAGGCCUUCCAGCUUCAUCCACGUUCCCGCAGAGGUCAUGAACUCAUCCUUUUUUAUGGCUGCGUAGUAAUUCCAUGCUGUAUACGUGCCACACUUUCUUUAUCCAGCCUAUCAUUCAUGGGCAUUCGAGUUGGUUCCAAGUCUUUGCUAUUGUAAAUAGUGCUGCAGUAAACAUACGUGUCCACGUGUCUUCCUAGUAGGAACUUCUUCCUCUUCAGCCCGCUGAGUAGCUGGCACUUUAAG
rnacentral:lncRNA from 1 species